UACGUAGGGACCGAGCGUUGUCCGGAUUCAUUGGGCGUAAAGAGCUCGUAGGCGGCUGCUCAAGUCGGUUGUGAAAACUCGAGGCUCAACCUCGAGACUGCAUUCGAUACUGGGUGGCUAGAGUCUGGUAGGGGGAUCUGGAAUUCCUGGUGUAGCGGUGGAAUGCGCAGAUAUCAGGAGGAACACCGGUGGCGAAGGCGGGAUCCUGGGCCAGUACUGACGCUGAGGAACGAAAGCGUGGGGAGCAAACAGG
rnacentral:rRNA from 1 species